rnacentral:rRNA from 1 species
UACGAAGGGUGCAAACGUUGCUCGGAAUUAUUGGGCGUAAAGCGCGCGUAGGCGGCUUUUCAAGUCAGGGGUGAAAUCCUGAGGCUUAACCUCAGAAUUGCCUUUGAAACUGUAAAGCUAGAGUGUCGGAGGGGAUAGCGGAAUUCCUAAUGUAGAGGUGAAAUUCGUAGAUAUUAGGAGGAACACCGGUGGCGAAGGCGGUUCUCUGGGCAUUACCUGACGCUGAGGAGCGAAAGCUAGGGGAGCGAACGGG